rnacentral:rRNA from 1 species
AUUGAACGCUGGCGGCAGGCCUAACACAUGCAAGUCGAACGAGUGGCGGACGGGUGAGUAAUGUCUGGGCAACUGCCUGAUGGAGGGGGAUAACUACUGGAAACGGUAUCUAAUACCGCAUACCAUCGGCUUUGGCCAGAUGGGAUUAGCUAGUCGGUGGGGUAACGGCUCACCUAGGCGACGAUCCCUAGCUGGUCUGAGAGGUUGACCCGCCACGCGGGAACUGAGACACGGUCCGGACUCCUACGGGAGGCAGCGGUGGGGAAUAUUGCACAAUGGGCGCAAGCAUGAUGCCGCCAUGCCGCGUGUAUGAAGAAGGCCUUCGGGUUGUAAAGUACUUUCAGCGGGGAGGCGUUACCCGCAGAGGAAGCACCGGCUAACUCCGUGCCAGCAGCCGCGGUAAUUC